rnacentral:tRNA from 2 species
CGGGGUGUAGCGAAGCUGGUAUCGCACCGCAUUUGGGAUGCGGGGAUCGCACGUUCGAGUCGUGUCACUCCGACCA